GCCUAGCGCUAAGGCUUAAUGUGGUUGUCGCAAGGCAAUCGUCACACACAACAUUAAAGCGGUGCAGCGUUACAAACCUUGGUGUUUAGUAGUGUCGAUGUAGUUUGUGGUUCGCCACAGACUGCUUUCGGCCUAGCGUACAAGUCCCAUUGACUUGGGCUUAUUCUUAAUUGAGAUGUCUACGGGUUUGGGGUAACUUGGAUCCGUGGAUGAGCCAUAGAGGGUGAAAGUCCCUUAAUGCGCAGGUAUUGACACUACGAACCGGGGCAGUGGCGUCUGGUAAAACAGGCGUUGCGAUUUGUUAGAGUCGGGUUGCUUGAGAGUGCAACCUAAAGAGCGAGGUAAACUGCUCGUAAGGCUAUUUAAAUACGGCUACGACACCGAUAGCAAACAAGUACCGUGAGGGAAAGUUGCAAAGUACUUUGAAGAGAGAGUUAAACAGGGCGUGAAACCGCUAGCUGGAAAACGAGUGGAGCCACGAAGUCGUUUCGUAGAAUACGGGGCGCAAAUUCAGCCAAGAUUAGCAAUAGUUUUGGCGUAUUUUUGCUUGUCCCGCUACUGUAAGCGUACACUGCAACCAAUUAGACGGCUAAUCGUGGACUCAGUUUGCGUGUUGACAGGGAAACUUGUUGCACGUAGGCGAAACCAUUUGUGCACUUUGCUGUAGGUAGUCUGGUAUAAUCUCUUGUAGGCUAUAUUGGGCGUAUGACAGCAAAUGCGUGAACUACGAUUAGGUACUGAUUGGCAAAUUGAAAAUCGAAUCGCAAGAUUCGUGUGUUCAUAGAAAGCGGCUAACCUCGUAUUUGGGUACAAUUGUGCGCUGCUAGUAUUUUUAAGCUUAGUAUUUUCGAAUUCAGGCACGUACAUUGUCAGUGGGCUUGCUCGUUGAUAUGUGCGCUGUUUCCUGUCUAAUCGGGUAUUAACUUUGCUGGUAGUUUGAUGCAAUUGCUACGAUAGCACUGAAUGCGAGAGUUAGUUUGCAAGUAUUGGCAGUGAGUAGGUCGGCUUUCCACACGACCCGUCUUGAAACACGGACCAAGGAGUCUAGUUAAGUAUCGAGUCGAUCGGUCUUGAUUAGGCCAGACAUGGUUGAUCAUUCUUAACCGAGUGAUGCACCAACUACAAUGACGGCAAAGUGAAAUCAAAUCAUAUGUGAUCUGAGGUCUAUAACAAUGGCCUACAGCGCAACAUAUGCCCACUCGUAUGGUUAUACGCGCAAGUGUUAACCGGGUGGAGCAAAGAGAUACUUGACUGGUACCCGAAAGAUGGUGAACUAUUCCUGGCCAGAUUGAAGCCAGAGGAAACUCUGGUGGAGGAUUGUAGCGAUUCUGACGUGCAAAUCGAUCGUCAGAGCUGGGUAUAGGGGCGAAAGACUAAUCGAACCAUCUAGUAGCUGGUUCCCUCCGAAGUUUCCCUCAGGAUAGCAAGCUCUCGCAGAAAUGUGAAUCAGUUUCAUCUGGUAAAGCGAAUGAUUAGAGGCCUUGGGAGCGAAACGCUCUCAACCUAUUCUCAAACUUUAAAUGGGUGAGAUGUACGACGUACUUAACUGACGCCGUAUUCACACAGAAUGUAUUGAGAGCUUAGUGGGCCAUUUUUGGUAAGCAGAACUGGCGAUGCGGGAUGAACCGAAAGUGAAGUUAAGGUUGCCGAUAAUGGUGCUAACAAUUUGUGCACUAGCUACACUCAUGAGAUCCCAUGAAAGGUGUAAGUUGCUAAAGACAGCAAGGACGUGGCCAUGGAAGUCGGAAACAUCUAAGGAGUGUGUAACAACUCACUUGCCGAAGCAACUUGCCCUGAAAAUGGAAGCAGCUCGAGUGUUGAACCUAUACUUCACCGUUGAACUAUCGUUGCACAUACAAAUGCGAUUAGUUAUAAUUCAACGUGUAGGAGGGUUGUGUUGGUAGCGUUGAAGGCUAUGAGGGAGUGAUCCUGGCUGGAGCUGCCAAUAGUACAGAUCUUGGUGGUAGUAGCAAAUACUCAAGUGAGACCCUUGAGGGCCAAUGUGGAGAAGGGUUCCAUGCUAACAGCAAUUGGACAUGGGUCAGUCGGUCCUAAGAGAAUGGCGAAAGCUAUUUCUGAAUCAAAGGCAGUGUAAACCAAAUAAUAACUAACUGCAUUCACCUAUCUACUAUUAUACAUAUCUCUAUUAUCAUGCUUCUUAUUACCAACUAACUUAUCAUUCGACUAUUCAUUAUUGUAUCAAUAUAUGUGUGUAUAUGAUUGAUGAUCAUUAGUAUAGAAUGCUGUGCGAAAUUCGCGGGUAUAAACGUCUAGUCUGCAUACACACACAAUCCAGAUAGAAUUUCUGAAGCUGUAUGUCGGAUGCUCGAAAACGUUGUACUGUCGUGUUUCUUAAGCACAUGCAAUAUUGGAUCAUCAUAUAUAUAUAUAUAUAUGUGUGUAUAAAUAAAUGGCGAAAAAAUAAGCAGCAUUACAAUAAUAAGCAAUAAAAUGAUACUUGAGAGCGUAAAUGUGUGAUAGUGGUGUUUGCGCAAAUUUA
rnacentral:rRNA from 1 species